UGUCAUCAUUGUCAGUCAGCUAAAGCUGAGAGCUAUUUGUAAUUGUGUAGAACAAUGGAUGUGCAACAGAACAAAUUUGAUUAGCUUUGAUGCAUGAAAUGUGAUGUAUAAGAGGGGAUGAAGAUGAAAUGUGAUGUAUAAGAGGGGAUGAAGGUGAAAUGUGAUGUAUAAGAGGCGAUGAAGAUGAAAUGUGAUGUAUAAGAGGCGAUGAAGAUGAAAUGUGAUGUAUAAGAGGCAAUGAAGAUGAAAUGUGAUGUAUAAGAGGGGAUGAAGAUGGACCUACAGUUGUAGACAUCAAUGGACAAAUAAGGAGCAUCUGAUCAUAGAGGUGGAAGCCCAGGGCUGCUUAUUUCUCCAAAGUGCAGUUAUGGAAAGGGCCCAUCAACCUCGACCCCAUCCAAAACGAAAGUCUCGAACAUCGACAGUUGGAGGUGACACUGCUUUAGACCAGUCAGUAUGCUCAGAGUUAGUAAUGAAAAUGUCAGAUCCGAAUGGAGUUAUAGAACCGAUAUUCAACUCAAUGCCGAUAGGUGGCGUGAAAACUUGCAUAGUGCACCUUUAAGAGUGUAUGUGAUCAGAUUUGGAUUGGGUUGAUGCCCUUCUACGGCCCUGUCCAGCUCUCCUUGUGUAACGGCCCGUCUCCUGUC